UUGGAGGGCAAGUCUGGUGCCAGCAGCCGCGGUAAUUCCAGCUCCAAUAGCGUAUAUUAAAGUUGCUGCAGUUAAAAAGCUCGUAGUUGAAUUUCGGGACCAAUAUGUCGGUCGUGCCUCGGUACGUACUGGCAUCGUUGGUUUCUCCCUUCUGACGAACCAUGAUGUCAUUUAUUUGGUGUCGUGGGGAAUCAGGACUGUUACUUCGAAAAAAUUAGAGUGUUUAAAGCAGGCUUACGCUUGAAUACAUUAGCAUGGAAUAAUGAAAUAGGACGUUUGAUUCUAUUUUGUUGGUUUCUAGGAUCGACGUAAUGAUUAAUAGGGAUAGUUGGGGGCAUUAGUAUUCAAUUGUCAGAGGUGAAAUUCUUGGAUUUAUUGAAGACUAACUACUGCGAAAGCAUUUGCCAAGGAUGUUUUCAUAAUCGAGAACGAAAGUUAGGGGAUCGAAGACGAUCAGAUACCGUCGUAGUCUUAACCAUAAACUAUGCCGACUAGGGAUCGGAUGAUGUUAAUUUUUUAAUGACUCAUUCGGCGCCUUACGGGAAACCAAAGUGUUUGGGUUC
rnacentral:rRNA from 1 species